UAAUUUACAUUGAACUCUAUGAGAUGGCACUGUUUCAGUUAUGCAAUACUUGCAGUUAACCAUAAGAGGGCAGUAGUUACUCAACAUUCCCUUUGACAAUACUGAAGCUUUAUUGGGUAUCCACAAGCUCCUCCUUGGAUCAUCAUUAUUAUAAUACUAAAAGUAAAAUUCUCCCACUGCUGAUUUAUCUGAACUUCAAGGUUUAUUCAGCAGUCAUGUCACACAAGUUGAGGAAUAUAUUUCUCUUCACACUCUUCAUUCUUGAGUGCAGAUCAGAGGACACAGUUGAUCAGCCAGACAAACAUGUGACUGAAGCUGAAGGAAGAUCAGUGACAUUACAGUGUAAAUAUAAAACAGAUUCAGCAGGAGAAGAUUUAUUCUGGUACAUCCAGAGAGCAAAUGACUUUCCUAAAUACAUCCUGAGGAGAAGCAAAUAUGGAGGAGAAAAUGGCACUGAGUUCCAGGAGAGAUUUCACUCUGAACUUUCAUCAAAUUCAGUUCCUCUGAAGAUCAAGGAUCUGCGUGUGUCUGACUCUGCUCUGUAUUACUGUGCUCUGAGGCCCACAGUCACAGGAAACACAUCAGAUCUUUACAAAAACCUGUUACACAGAGACACGGACGAACACAGAUAGAAAGAAACAGGAACU